rnacentral:rRNA from 1 species
GACGUAGGGCGCAAGCGUUGUCCGGAUUUAUUGGGCGUAAAGAGCUCGUAGGCGGCCUGUCGCGUCGACCGUGAAAACCCGCAGCUCAACUGCGGGCUUGCGGUCGAUACGGGCAGACUAGAGUUCGGUAGGGGAGUCUGGAAUUCCUGGUGUAGCGGUGAAAUGCGCAGAUAUCAGGAGGAACACCGGUGGCGAAGGCGGGACUCUGGGCCGAUACUGACGCUGAGGAGCGAAAGCGUGGGGAGCAAACAGG